GACGAACGCUGGCGGCGUGCUUAACACAUGCAAGUCGAACGGAAAGGCCCUGCUUUUGUGGGGUGCUCGAGUGGCGAACGGGUGAGUAACACGUGAGUAACCUGCCCUUGACUUUGGGAUAACUUUAGGAAACUGGGGCUAAUACCGGAUAGGAGCUCCUGCUGCAUGGUGGGGGUUGGAAAGUUUCGGCGGUUGGGGAUGGACUCGCGGCUUAUCAGCUUGUUGGUGGGGUAGUGGCUUACCAAGGCUUUGAUGGGUAGCCGGCCUGAGAGGGUGACCGGCCACAUUGGGACUGAGAUACGGCCCAGACUCCUACGGGAGGCAGCAGUGGGGAAUAUUGCACAAUGGGCGGAAGCCUGAUGCAGCAACGCCGCGUGCGGGAUGACGGCCUUCGGGUUGUAAACCGCUUUCGCCUGUGACGAAGCGUGAGUGACGGUAAUGGGUAAAGAAGCACCGGCUAACUACGUG
rnacentral:rRNA from 1 species